rnacentral:rRNA from 1 species
GGUUCGAUUAUGGCUCAGAUUUCUGAAAACGCUGUGAUGUGCUUUACACAUGCAAGUCGAACGGCAGCACGGACUUCGGUCUGCGGCGAGUGGCGAACGGGUGAGUAAUGUAUCGGAACGUGCCUAGUAGCGGGGGAUAACUACGCGAAAGCGUAGCUAAUACCGCAUACGGGCCCUUCGGGGGAAAGCGGGACCUUCGGGCCUCGCACUAUUAGAGCGGCCGAUAUCGGAUUAGCUAGUUGGUGGGGUAACGGCUCACCAAGGCGACGAUCCGUAGCUGGUUUGAGAGGACGACCAGCCACACUGGGACUGAGACACGGCCCAGACCCCUACGGGAGGCAGCAGUGGGGACCGGAUAAUGGGGAAACUCGAUCUGUGUCAUCUCGGCGUGUGCGAUGAAGGCCUUCGGGUUGUAAAGCACUUUUGGCAGGAAAGAAACGGCACGGGAUAACAAUGUGCAACUGACGGUACCUGCAGAAUAGCACCGCCAACUACGUGCCAGCAGCCGCGGUAAUACGUAGGGCAAGCGUUAAUCGGAAUUACUGGGCGUAAGCGUGCGCAGGCGGUUCGGAAAGAAAGAUGUGAAAUCCCAGAGCUUAACUUUGGAACUGCAUUUUUAACUACCGAGCUAGAGUGUGUCGAGGGAGGUGUGAAUUCCGCGUGUAGCAGUGGAAUGCGUAGAUAUGCGGAGGAACACCGAUGGCGAAGGCAGCCUCCUGGGAUAACACUGACGCCUGCACGAAAGCGUGGGGAGCAAACAGGAUUAGAUACCCUGGUAGUCCACGCCCUAAACGAUGUCAACUAGCUGUUGGGGCCUUCGGGCCUUGCAUGUGCCAACGCGUGAAGUUGACCGCCUGGGGAGUACGGUCGCAAGAUUAAACUCAAAGGAAUUGACGGGGACCCGCACAAGCGGUGGAUGAUGUGGAUUAAUUCGAUGCAACGCGAAAAACCUUACCUACCCUUGACAUGUCUGGAAUCCCGAAGAGAUUUGGGAGUGCUCGUGAGAACCGAACACAGGUGCUGUAUGGCUGCUGUCAGCUCGUGUCGUGAGAUGCUGGGUUAAGUCCCGCAACGAGCGCAACCCUUGUCAUUAGUUGCUACGAAAGGGCACUCUAAUGAGACUGCCGGUGACAAACCGGAGAAGGUGGGGAUGACGUCGUCCUCAGCCCUUUAUGUAGGGUCAUACGUCAUACAAUGGUCGGGACAGAGGGCUUCACAACCCGCGAGGGGGAGCCGAACUCAGAAACCCGAUCGUAGUCCGGAUCGUAGCUCCGCAACUCGACUGCGUGAAGUCGGAAUCGCUAGUAAUCGCGGACUGCUACGUCGCGGUGAAUACGUUCCCGGGUCUUGUACACACCGCCCGUCACACCAUGGGAGUGGGUUUUACCAGAAGUAGUUAGCCUAACCGUAAGGAGGGCGAUUACCACGGUAGGAUUCAUGACUGGGUGAAGUCGUAACAAGGUAA